GAUCAUGCUCUGAGACCUGCUUGCUGGUCUGAGGGGGGUUUUUGCACAAUGCUGGAGGUGCUGCUCUCUCUCUGUGGCUCAGUCUGACUCUCAGGCCACUGACUCAAAACAAAACCCCUGUGCUCUGCCUUUGUGGUUUCCUCUGCACGCACCCCUUUCAUAGGUUACCUGGUCCCUCCAUCUCGGUCUCUCUCUCCUUCUUCCUUUCUCUCUCUCUCUCCCUCUCUCUCUCUCUCUCUCUCGUGUUUGUCUCCUCUGGUACUUCAGAGGGGGCAGAACUAUAUUUGCCCUUUUGAGAUAAUCAGUGAUUCAGUUUUGUUAUGAGGAAUAAUUCAUUCCUCAGCACUCUUAUCAGAGGGCCUAUCAGAAAUCCAUCUCAGACAGUUUGAAAGCUUUCUAAUCAUGGACGUUCUUUAGCCAUUUUUUUUUUCACUGAGCUAGCGAGCCAAUUUUAACAAGAUGUGAGCAAAUUUAAGUAAUAUACUGUAGACUGGGUGCAACGUCUUGAUUGCAAGUGUAACAAGUGUUUCAAUACUAAUACCGUUACUAGAAUGGAUAAAAUCAGGUAAGUAUGGACCAGAUCAGAAGACAACAGAUUUGACUCGAGAGAGAGAUGGUUUGCACAUCAAAAAUGAAGCACACGGAAGCAGGAUCUAUAUUUCAAAGGUCGAUCACAUGGGUGGCUCGCCAGUCCGCGCGCCGCUGUAGCUCUCCAGGGAAGGCAAGCAGGGGCAGAGGAAUCCAGGAUCCAGCACAGCAGUUCAAAUCGAACAACAAAAAACCAAUACACACAAAAAAAACCCGGCCUUGCAACACAAAGCCAGAAGACUCAUCAGUAGUCUGUACACUCUGUUAAAUAAACUUGGUGAAAGCCCA